rnacentral:rRNA from 1 species
CCUACGGGAGGCAGCAGUGAGGAAUAUUGGUCAAUGGGCGAGAGUCUGAACCAGCCAAGUAGCGUGAAGGAUGACUGCCCUAUGGGUUGUAAACUUCUUUUAUAUAGGAAUAAAAUGUUCCACGUGUGGGAUUUUGUAUGUACCAUAUGAAUAAGGAUCGGCUAACUCCGUGCCAGCAGCCGCGGUAAUACGGAGGAUCCGAGCGUUAUCCGGAUUUAUUGGGUUUAAAGGGAGCGUAGGUGGAUUGUUAAGUCAGUUGUGAAAGUUUGCGGCUCAACCGUAAAAUUGCAGUUGAAACUGGCAGUCUUGAGUACAGUAGAGGUGGGCGGAAUUCGUGGUGUAGCGGUGAAAUGCUUAGAUAUCACGAAGAACUCCGAUUGCGAAGGCAGUUCACUGGACUGCAACUGACACUGAGGCUCGAAAGUGUGGGUAUCAAACAGGAUUAGAUACCCUUGUAGUC